CUGCGUCUGAUACUGGGUGGCUCGAAUGCGGGAGAGGGGAUGUGGAAUUCCAGGUGUAGCGGUGAAAUGCGUAGAUAUCUGGAGGAACACCGGUGGCGAAGGCGGCAUCCUGGACCGACAUUGACGCUGAGGCGCGAAAGCUAGGGGAGCAAACGGGAUUAGAUACCCCGGUAGUCCUAGCCCUAAACGAUGAGUGCUUGGUGUGGCGGGUAUCGAUCCCUGCCGUGCCGAAGCUAACGCAUUAAGCAUCUCCGCCUGGGAG
rnacentral:rRNA from 1 species